GAUGAACGCUGGCGGCGUGCCUAAUACAUGCAAGUCGAGCGAACAGAUGAGGAGCUUGCUCCUCUGACGUUAGCGGCGGACGGGUGAGUAACACGUGGAUAACCUACCUAUAAGACUGGGAUAACUUCGGGAAACCGGAGCUAAUACCGGAUAAUAUAUUGAACCGCAUGGUUCAAUAGUGAAAGACGGUUUUGCUGUCACUUAUAGAUGGAUCCGCGCCGCAUUAGCUAGUUGGUAAGGUAACGGCUUACCAAGGCAACGAUGCGUAGCCGACCUGAGAGGGUGAUCGGCCACACUGGAACUGAGACACGGUCAAGACUCCUACGGGAGGCAGCAGUAGGGAAUCUUCCGCAAUGGGCGAAAGCCUGACGGAGCAACGCCGCGUGAGUGAUGAAGGUCUUCGGAUCGUAAAACUCUGUUAUUAGGGAAGAACAAAUGUGUAGGUAACUAUGCACGUCUUGACGGUACCUAAUCAGAAAGCCACGGCUAACUACGUG
rnacentral:rRNA from 1 species